CUCUUAUCACUUCAUGUCUGUGCUCAUCCCAAGUAAUGCGGUUGUAUUGGUGAUGACAGACUACCAACUGUAACAUGUCCUUCAAAAGGACAAGAAAUUACGAUUUGAAUCAUGUUCAUCAAACAUCGAUAACAUCACCCAAACUAAAUUAAUAGUCGUAUUUGGCAAGGAGAAGCUUUAUACAUUAAGUUAUGCGGUAUAAAAACUAAAAUCAUUCACUUUUUAUUAUGUGUUUUGUACAUUUAUUUACAAACGAAGGAAUUUGGCUGAAGUGGGAUCAUAAUUUAUACAUGUUUCCACCUUGCACCAUUGUACAA